rnacentral:rRNA from 1 species
AUUAACGCUAGCGACGUGCCUAAGGUAUGCAAGUCGAACGGUGAAUUUUGAGUAGCAAUACAAGAAAUUCAUAGUGGCAAACGGCUGAGUAACACGUGGGAAUUUCCCCCUAAGUCUGACAUAGCUCACCGAAAGGUGGGGUAAAUUCAGAUGGUCCUAGUACCUUUACGGUACUAGGUAAAACUUUUGUGCUUAGGGAUAAGCCCGCGUCCUAUCAGAUAGUUGGUGAGGUAAUGGCUUACCAAGUCUAUGACGGGUAGCUGGUCUGAGAGGAUGGCCAGCCAGACUGGGACUGAGAUACGGCCCAGACUCCUACGGGAGGCAGCAACUAGGAAUUAUGCACAAUGGACGCAAGUCUGAUGCUGCGACGUCGCGUGGAGGAUGAAGAUCUUCGGAUUGUAAACUCCUUUUACCAGGGAACAAGUUCUGAGUGUACCUGGUGAAUAAGUGCCUGCCAACCACGUGCCGGAAGCAUCGGUAAUACGUGGGACACAAGCGUUAUCCGGAUUUACUGGGCGUAAAGAGAUGCGUAGGCGUCUUAAUAAGUUUGAUGUAAAAGCCCAACGCUCACCGUUGGAACUGCAUCAAAAACUAUUUUGAUUGAGUUAGGUAGAGAAGAGGGGAAUUCCUGGUGGAGCGGUUAAAUGCGUUGAUAUCAGGAGGAAUACCAAUGGCGAAAGCACCUCUUUGGACCUCAACUGACGCUAAAGCUCGAAAGUGUGGGGAGCGAAACGGAUUAGAUACCCGUGUAGUCCACACCCUAAACAAUCCCCGUUAGAUGUUUGAAACUCACUUGAUUUUCUCGCAAGAGAAGGUUUUUAGUGUUUUUUGAGUGUCGCAGCUAACGCGUUAAACGGGGCGCCUGUGAAGUACGGCCGCAAGGCUAAAACACAAAGGAAUUGACGGGGACCCGCACAAGCAGUGGAGUGCCUGGUUUAAUUCGAUGAUCAACGAAGAACCUCACCUGGGCUUGAACUAUAAUUGCUAACCCUAUGAAAGUAGGGCUCCUUCGAGGGUAUUAUAGAGGUGCUGCAUGGCUGUCGUCAGCUCGUGUCGUGAGAUGUCGGGUUAAGUCCCACAACGAGCGCAACCCCUUUCCGAUGUUAAAAUUACUUCGGAUACUGCCCCGCCAAAACGGGGAGGAAGGAGGGGGCGACGUCCAGUCAUCAUGUCCCUUAUGUCCAGGGCUACACAGACACUACAAUGGUCGUUACAAUGAGUUGCCAAGCCGCGAGGCGGAGCUAAUCUCAUCAAAAGCGGCCUCAGUUCAGAUUGCAGGCUGCAAUUCGCCUGCAUGAAGUCGGAAUUGCUAGUAAUCGCGAAUCAGCAUGUCGCGGUGAAUACGUUCUCGGGUCUUGUACACACCGCCCGUCAGGGCAUGGGAGUUGCUCAUACUCGAAGUCUCUGUUUAACAGGGCCGAAAGUUAUGGGUGGCGACUGGGCUU